UACGAAGGGGGCUAGCGUUGCUCGGAAUCACUGGGCGUAAAGCGCACGUAGGCGGCCUGUUAAGUCAUGUGUGAAAUCCCUCGGCUCAACCGGGGAACGACGCAUGAAACUGACAAGCUAGAGUACCAAAGAGGGGGGUGGAACUCCCGGUGUAGAGGUGAAAUUCGUAGAUAUUCGCAAGAACACCAGUGGCGAAGGCGGCUCACUGGCCCGGUACUGACGCUGAGGUGCGAAAGCGUGGGGAGCAAACAGG
rnacentral:rRNA from 1 species